CACCACUGCCUCUGACUUUGCUGUUGAUGGAAACUCAUGUAGUUUAACCAUAUGCCAGAUUAUUUUACAUCAAAUGUUGCCUCUCACCAAACAUGGCUACAUGUACCUUGGAAGCAGAAUCUGAAACUUUCUGAGGAGAGCAUUUGAGCUUCAGAUUUCUAACAGUCUGUGUGCCCAGCUGAGUUUGUUGAAAGCCUUGGUCCCUGAAGUCCUAAACUACAUGCAAGAAAGCUAUAGAGGAAGGAGUUGGGGAUCAGAGGCCGCACACGUUAAGACUGCAAGCUAUCCAAGAUAAAUUGAGUUCUCAUCUGGUCAAUAUUCAUGUCAGCCUUAGGAUCAGUUAUUCCUUCAUUCCAAGAGUGCUUAUUAUCAGCUACCAUAUUAACCCACCAGUGAUAAGACUUGAGGAUAUAAGAGGUCCAGAUAAAAAUGGAUAGGGAUAUGAG
rnacentral:lncRNA from 1 species